rnacentral:ncRNA from 2 species
UACAACAAAGCGCUUGAAAGUGAACUCAACCUUAAAAGGGAAUUGGGGAGUAGCAUUUAGCUAUUAAUGGCCCAAACUGUACCCGCAACUGUAUGUGUUUUAAAGAGGUCGUUAGGAUCUAACCUAGGACCUAGGACAUGAGUACCUCUUUAAACCAUGAGUCAGGAUACCUGCCUAACUUUGUCGCUAAAA